rnacentral:rRNA from 1 species
UACGUAGGGGGCAAGCGUUGUCCGGAUUUAUUGGGCGUAAAGAGCGUGUAGGCGGCUUGGUAGGUCCGCUGUGAAAACUCGAGGCUCAACCUCGAGAUGUCGGCGGAAACCACUUGGCUAGAGUCCGGAAGAGGAGAGUGGAAUUCCUGGUGUAGCGGUGAAAUGCGCAGAUAUCAGGAAGAACACCUAUGGCGAAGGCAG